CCUACGGGGGGCAGCAGUGGGGGAUAUUGCACAAUGGGGGAAACCCUGAUGCAGCGACGCCGCGUGGGCGAAGAAGUAUUUCGGUAUGUAAAGCCCUAUCAGCAGGGAAGAAGAAAUGACGGUACCUGAGUAAGAAGCACCGGCUAAAUACGUGCCAGCAGCCGCGGUAAUACGUAUGGUGCAAGCGUUAUCCGGAUUUACUGGGUGUAAAGGGAGCGUAGACGGCAGCGCAAGUCUGAAGUGAAAUGCCGGGGCUUAACCCCGGAACUGCUUUGGAAACUGUGCAGCUAGAGUGCAGGAGAGGUAAGUGGAAUUCCGAGUGUAGCGGUGAAAUGCGUAGAUAUUAGGAGGAACACCAGUGGCGAAGGCGGCUUACUGGACUGUAACUGACAUUGAGGCUCGAAAGCGUGGGGAGCAAACAGGAUUAGAUACCCGGGUAGUC
rnacentral:rRNA from 1 species